GCAGCCGUGGCCUACUGGUUAGGGCAUGGGGCUUGUAACCGAAGGGUUGCCGGUUCGAUCCCCGACCAGUCGGA
rnacentral:tRNA from 1 species